UCUUUCCAAAUAUGUUUUUCUCUAUUGCAUGAAAUUAUUAAUGGUAUUAACUCAAACAAUUUUGAUUCUGUGCCCCACAUUGCCCUCAGUGUGUUGAGAGCAGAGAAAUCAUUUCCAUAGAGGAGGCUUUGCAUCAUCAGCUGAUCCUCCAGAGAACUGAGAAGGUUUAUAGUCCUGUGAGUUCAACACUGCAGGACUCACAUCUGUCAGUCAACACAGCAGAAAGCACAACCACCAUGACUCUCAUCACCAUCCUCAUCUGGACGCUGACCUGCUGCUGUUUUACAGGAUGCAGCGGUCAGGUGACUGUGACUCAACCUCCAGUACUGACAUCUACUCCUGGAUCCACUGUCACUCUGACCUGUAGGACCAGCCGAGCUGUUUUCAGAUAUGAUGAUGGUGAUGAUGCUAUGUACUGGUAUCAACAGAAAUCUGGACAGGCUCCAAAGCUCCUGAUAAAAUAUGCAACAACGCUUGAGUCAGGAACACCAUCUCGAUUUAGUGGCAGUGGAAGCAGCUCUGACUUCUCUAUGACCAUCAGUGGAGUUCAGGCUGAAGAUGCAGCAGUUUACUACUGUAAGAGUUACCAUGAAAUAAACAGUGCUGCAGUGUUCACACAGUGA